rnacentral:rRNA from 1 species
CCUACGGGGGGCAGCAGUGGGGAAUAUUGGACAAUGGGGGGAACCCUGAUCCAGCGACGCCGCGUGAGUGAAGAAGUAUUUCGGUAUGUAAAGCUCUAUCAGCAGGGAAGAAGAAGACGGUACCUGACUAAGAAGCCCCGGCUAACUACGUGCCAGCAGCCGCGGUAAUACGUAGGGGGCAAGCGUUAUCCGGAUUUACUGGGUGUAAAGGGAGCGUAGACGGUACAGCAAGUCUGAUGUGAAAGGUCGGGGCCCAACCCCGGGACUGCAUUGGAAACUGUUGGACUGGAGUACAGGAGAGGUAAGCGGAAUUCCUAGUGUAGCGGUGAAAUGCGUAGAUAUUAGGAGGAACACCAGUGGCGAAGGCGGCUUACUGGACUGUAACUGACGUUGAGGCUCGAAAGCGUGGGGAGCAAACAGGAUUAGAUACCCUGGUAG